GAUGAACGCUAGCGGCAGGCUUAACACAUGCAAGUCGAGGGGUAGAGGAAGCUUGCUUCCUUGAGACCGGCGCACGGGUGCGUAACGCGUAUACAAUCUACCUUUUACAGAGGGAUAGCCCAGAGAAAUUUGGAUUAAUACCUCAUAGUAUUUUCGGAUCGCAUGAUUUGAUUAUUAAAGUUCCAACGGUAAAGAUGAGUAUGCGUCCCAUUAGCUAGAUGGUAAGGUAACGGCUUACCAUGGCAAUGAUGGGUAGGGGUCCUGAGAGGGAGAUCCCCCACACUGGUACUGAGACACGGACC
rnacentral:rRNA from 1 species